GACGAACGCUGGCGGCGUGCUUAACACAUGCAAGUCGAACGGAAAGGCCCUGCUUUUGUGGGGUGCCCGAGUGGCGAACGGGUGAGUAACACGUGAGUAACCUGCCCUUGACUUUGGGAUAACUUCAGGAAACUGGGGCUAAUACCGGAUAGGAGCUCCUGCUGCAUGGUGUGGGUUGGAAAGUUUCGGCGGUUGGGGAUGGACUCGCGGCUUAUCAGCUUGUUGGUGGGGUAGUGGCUUACCAAGGCUUUGACGGGUAGCCGGCCUGAGAGGGUGACCGGCCACAUUGGGACUGAGAUACGGCCCAGACUCCUACGGGAGGCAGCAGUGGGGAAUAUUGCACAAUGGGCGGAAGCCUGAUGCAGCAACGCCGCGUGCGGGAUGACGGCCUUCGGGUUGUAAACCGCUUUCGCCUGUGACGAAGCGUGAGUGACGGUAAUGGGUAAAGAAGCACCGGCUAACUACGUG
rnacentral:rRNA from 1 species